rnacentral:rRNA from 1 species
GACGAACGCUGGCGGCGUGCCUAAUACAUGCAAGUUGAGCGCUGAAGGUUGGUACUUGUACCAACUGGAUGAGCAGCGAACGGGUGAGUAACGCGUGGGGAAUCUGCCUUUGAGCGGGGGACAACAUUUGGAAACGAAUGCUAAUACCGCAUAAAAACUUUAAACACAAGUUUUAAGUUUGAAAGAUGCAAUUGCAUCACUCAAAGAUGAUCCCGCGUUGUAUUAGCUAGUUGGUGAGGUAAAGGCUCACCAAGGUGAUGAUACAUAGCCGACCUGAGAGGGUGGUCGGCCCACAUGGGAACGGGACCAGGGCCAAACUCCUACGGGGAGGCGCAGGAGGGGAACUUUCGGCAAGGGACGAAGUCCGAACGGGGAACGCCGGGUGGGGGGAGGAGGGUUUCGGAUUCGAAAAACCUUUUUGGAGGGGAGAAAGGUGGGGGGGGUGGAAAGGCUAUUAAGUGACCGUAAACAACCAGAAAGGGACGGCUAACUACGUG